GGAGAGGUGUCCGAGUGGUCGAUGGUGCGGCUCUCGAAAAGCCGUAGGCGCGAGCCUCGUGGGUUCGAAUCCCACCCUCUCCGCCA
rnacentral:tRNA from 1 species